UACGUAGGGGGCUAGCGUUGCUCGGAAUUACUGGGCGUAAAGGGUGCGUAGGCGGAUAGGUUAGUCAGAGGUGAAAGCCCAGGGCUCAACCUUGGAACAGCCUUUGAUACUGGCUAUCUUGAGUACGGGAGAGGUGAGUGGAACUCCGAGUGUAGAGGUGAAAUUCGUAGAUAUUCGGAAGAACACCGGUGGCGAAGGCGACUCACUGGCCCGUUACUGACGCUGAGGCUCGAAAGCGUGGGGAGCAAACAGG
rnacentral:rRNA from 1 species